rnacentral:rRNA from 1 species
AUUGAACGCUGGCGGCAGGCUUAACACAUGCAAGUCGAACGAGUGGCGGACGGGUGAGUAGUGUCUGGGAAACUGCCUGCUGGAGGGGGAUAACUACUGGAAACGGUAGCUAAUCCCGCAUACCAGUGGAUGUGCCCAUAUGGGAUUAGCUAGUGGGUGGGGUAAAGGCUCACCUAUGCGACGAGCCCUAGCUGGUCUGAGAGGAUGACCAGCCAACCUGGAACUGAGACACUGUCCAGACUCCUACGGGAGGCAGCAGUGGGGAAUAUUGCACAAUGGGCGCAAGCCUGAUACAGCCAUGCCGCGUGUGUGAAGAAGGCCUUCGGGUUGUAAAGCACUUUCAGCGAGGAGGCGUUACUCGCAGAAGAAGCACCGGCUAACUCCGUGCCAGCAGCCGCGGUAAUAC